AUUGAACGCUGGCGGCAUGCCUUACACAUGCAAGUCGAACGGCAGCACGGGAGCAAUCCUGGUGGCGAGUGGCGAACGGGUGAGUAAUACAUCGGAACGUGCCCAGUAGUGGGGGAUAACCCGGCGAAAGCCGGACUAAUACCGCAUACGACCUACGGGUGAAAGCAGGGGAUCGCAAGACCUUGCGCUAUUGGAGCGGCCGAUGUCAGAUUAGCUUGUUGGGGGGUAAAAGGCCUACCAAGGCAACGAUCUGUAGCUGGUCUGAGAGGACGACCAGCCACACUGGGACUGAGACACGGCCCAGACUCCUACGGGAGGCAGCAGUGGGGAAUUUUGGACAAUGGGCGCAAGCCUGAUCCAGCCAUGCCGCGUGCGGGAAGAAGGCCUGGUUGUAA
rnacentral:rRNA from 1 species